UACGUAGGGUGCAAGCGUUGUCCGGAAUUAUUGGGCGUAAAGAGCGUGUAGGCGGCCCGAUUAGUCCGCUGUGAAAGUCCAGGGCUCAACCCUGGAAUGCCGGUGGAUACUGUCGGGCUAGAGUCCGGAAGGGGCGAGUGGAAUUCCUGGUGUAGCGGUGAAAUGCGUAGAGAUCAUGAGGAAGACCAGUGGCGAAGGCGGGUCUCUGGACAGUUCCUGACACUGAGACACGAAGGCCAGGGGAGCAAACGGG
rnacentral:rRNA from 1 species